rnacentral:lncRNA from 1 species
UCUAGAGUUGAUUUUCUAACACAUGAAUAUGAACUCUUUAGAAUGAGGGAGAAUGAAAGCAUCGAUAUUAUGUUCGAACGGUUCUCAAUGAUCAUAUACGAUCUCCAUGCUCUCGGAAAAGUAUAUUCGAAAGUACGAGGUAACCGCAAAACUUAUGAAAGUACGAUUCUUAAUCCUUCUUUUGGAAACAAGAAAAAUUCGAAUAUUGC